GAUAAACGCUGGCGGCGCACAUAAGACAUGCAAGUCGAACGGACUUAACCAUUAGUUUACUAUUGGAGCGGUUAGUGGCGGACUGGUGAGUAACGCGUAAGCAAUCUGCCUAUCAGAGGGGAAUAACAGUGAGAAAUCACUGCUAAUACCGCAUAAGCUGUGAGUAUCACAUGAUACAAAUAGAAAAGGAGCAAUUCGCUCUGGGAUGGACUCGCGUCCGAUUAGCUGGAUGGUGAGGUAACGGCCCACCAUGGCGACGAUCGGUAGCCGGACUGAGAGGUUGAUCGGCCACAUUGGGACUGAGACACGGCCCAG
rnacentral:rRNA from 1 species